rnacentral:rRNA from 1 species
ACGGCUCAGUAACACGUGGCUAACCUACCCUCAGGACGGGGACAAACCCGGGAAACUGGGGCUAAUAUCCGAUAGGCGAGGAAUCCUGGAAUGGUUCUUCACCCAAAGGACAUUGGAAACAUGCUUUCUCUGUCGCCUGGGGAUGGGGCCGCGUCCGAUCAGGUUGUUGGUGAGGUAAUGGCUCACCAAGCCUUUAACCGGUACGGGCCAUGAGAGUGGUAGCCCGGAGAUGGGUACUGAGACAAGGACCCAGGCCCUACGGGGCGCAGCAGUCGCGAAAACUCCGCAAUGCACGAAAGUGUGACGGGGCUACCCCGAGUGCCGUCCGCUGAGGAUGGCUUUUCCUUGGUGUAACUAGCCGGGGGAAUAAGGAGAGGGCAAGACUGGUGUCAGCCGCCGCGGUAAUACCAGCUCUCCGAGUGGUAGGGAUGAUUAUUGGGCUUAAAGCGUCCGUAGCCGGCUUAGCAAGUUUCCUGUUAAAUUCAGCGACCUAAUCGUUGAGCCGCGGGAAAUACUACUAGGCUAGGAGGCGGGAGAGGUCGACGGUACUUCUGGGGUAGGGGUGAAAUCCUAUAAUCCCGGGAGGACCACCAGUGGCGAAGGCUGUCGACUAGAACGCGCUCGACGGUGAGGGACGAAAGCUGGGGGAGCGAACCGGAUUAGAUACCCGGGUAGUCCCAGCUGUAAACGAUGCGGGCUAGGUGUUGGGGUGGCUACGUGCCACUUCAGUGCCGCAGGGAAGCCAUUAAGCCCGCCGCCUGGGGAGUACGGCCGCAAGGCUGAAACUUAAAGGAAUUGGCGGGGAAGCAC